rnacentral:rRNA from 1 species
AGGGUUUGAUUAUGGCUCAGGAUUAACGCUGGCGGCGUGCAUAACACAUUCAAGUCGAACGGUGAAAGGGACUUCGGUCCCCGGAGCAGUGGCGGACGGGUGAGUAACGCGUGAGUAACCUGCCUGUGAGAGGGGAAUAACAGUUGGAAACGGCUGCUAAUACCGCAUAAUGCAUAUUGGUUGCAUGAUCGAUAUGCCAAAGAGAGAUCGCUCAUAGAUGGACUCGCGUCUGAUUAGGUAGUUGGUGAGGUAACGGCUCACCAAGCCGACGAUCAGUAGCCGGACUGAGAGGUUGAACGGCCACAUUGGAACUGAGAUACGGUCCAG